GAAAUAAUCAUGAACAAAUGAUGAUGAUGAUGAAUUAUUUUUCGUUGUUUCAACAAGUGGAAUUUCAAGUGUGAUUUUUUCUACAGUACAUUUGUUAUUUGGUGGUGGUGGCGGCGGCGAUGAUGAUGAUGGUGAUGAUGAGAGAGGUGGCAUUUGGAGUGGAGCAGAUUUGUGCGUAUAUUUGGUUGGUAUUUGUAAACUUGUUGUGAAUGUACAAAAAAAGAAGAAGAAGAAAAUAAGGUUUGACAUUAUUUUCUUUGUUGUUGUUGAAUUAUUUUGAUUGUCGAAUAUUUUGUGUGUGUGUGUGUGUGUGAAUGCAUCUCCUCACACUCACGCAAAAACAACCCGCACGAGAGAGGAAAGAAUAAAUAGCAACAAUGCCACAAACAAUAACAAA
rnacentral:ribozyme from 14 species